rnacentral:rRNA from 1 species
UGAGGAAUAUUGGUCAAUGGACGAGAGUCUGAACCAGCCAAGUAGCGUGAAGGAUGACUGCCCUAUGGGUUGUAAACUUCUUUUAUACGGGAAUAAAGUGCAGUAUGUAUACUGUUUUGUAUGUACCGUAUGAAUAAGGAUCGGCUAACUCCGUGCCAGCAGCCGCGGUAAUACGGAGGAUCCAAGCGUUAUCCGGAUUUAUUGGGUUUAAAGGGUGCGUAGGUGGCUUUUUAAGUCAGGGGUGAAAGACAUCGGCUCAACCGAUGCAGUGCCUUUGAUACUGAAGAGCUUGAAUAGCGUUGAAGAUGGCGGAAUGAGACAAGUAGCGGUGAAAUGCAUAGAUAUGUCUCAGAACACCGAUUGCGAAGGCAGCUGUCUAAGCGUUUAUUGACACUGAUGCACGAAAGCGUGGGGAUCAAACAGGAUUAGAUACCC